CGUGAGGAACCUGCCUUCCAGAGGGGGACAACAGUUGGAAACGACUGCUAAUACCGCAUGACGCAUGACCGGGGCAUCCCGGGCAUGUCAAAGAUUUUAUCGCUGGAAGAUGGCCUCGCGUCUGAUUAGCUAGAUGGUGGGGUAACGGCCCACCAUGGCGACGAUCAGUAGCCGGACUGAGAGGUUGACCGGCCACAUUGGGACUGAGAUACGGCCCAG
rnacentral:rRNA from 1 species